AUUGAACGCUGGCGGCAGGCCUAACACAUGCAAGUCGAACGAGUGGCGGACGGGUGAGUAAUGUCUGGGAAACUGCCCGAUGGAGGGGGAUAACUACUGGAAACGGUAGCUAAUACCGCAUACCAUCGGAUGUGCCCAGAUGGGAGUGGCUGGUUGGUGAGGUAACGGCUCACCUAGGCGACGAUCCCUAGCUGGUCUGAGAGGAUGACCAGCCACACUGGAACUGAGACACGGGCCAGACUCCUACGGGAGGCAGCAGUGGGGAAUAUUGCACAAUGUGCGCAAUCCUGAUGCAGCCAUGCCGCGUGUAUGAAGAAGGCCUUCGGGUUGUAAAGUACUUUCAGCGGGGAGGCGUUACCCGCAGAAGAAGCACCGGCUAACUCCGUGCCAGCAGCCGCGGUAAUAC
rnacentral:rRNA from 1 species